GUGUCCUUCCCGCGCUCCCUGGCCCAGGCAGCUGCUCUGCCAGUGACACCUCCACCGUGUUCCUGCCAGGCUCCGCAAUGCCCCUGCCCACACAUGUACAGGCACCAAGCUGCCCUCUGCAUCUGCUCAGCUCAGGAUUGUGCACACAUGCAUGACUUUGGUCCUCCUGGCCAAAAGAUGGCUGCUGCAGCUCCAGGGUCUGCUCCUAUAUUUCAGCUAGGAAGGAAGAAGAGUGAAGGCUCAAUUGUAGAGGAAGGCAAGGAAGAAGGUGAUGAAACGGUGUGUGAGCCAGCCUCAGAGUAUGUCUGCCGCAGGAUAUGUGUGAAUGGAGCUGUAGGAGACAUUCCUAGAACUGGAUUCUUCUCACUGCAGCUGUUUGACCUGGCACUCAAGGCCUAAGAUCUGGAGUCUUGUCUCGUUCUUUCCUACGUGUCCCUCUGGCUCAGCACACCCAGUUUCCCAACUUCCCAGCACUGGGAUAUCACGUGCCCUGUUGCCUCCCGCCUCGGACCCCCCUCUCCUGGAAGGCGGGUGCCAUUUCUAUCCAGAUCCAUCCUCCUCUGAGGUUCAGUUUAUCUCCAUCUUCCCUGAAGCAUGGGCAGAAUGUCUCCUUUUUCCCCAAACGGAGAGUCUGUAUGUUUUUCUCUCAGUCUCCCUCCCAUGCCCAUCUUUCCUAGUAUUAUUCCCAGGGAUUUUUACCCCCAGGAAUUAAGGGGAACAAAGACCAACAGAGAAGAGACGGUCAGGCCCCAGGCUAGACUCAGAGACAAUGCCUGCCGCUUGGAGACAGCUGGGAUAUAUUCUCAAUCAAGGCCUCAUGGAUUUGUGCCUGAAUUCUGGAGGAUGGAGACCCCAAGGAGAAAGCAGGGAAGCAAUUUCACUGAGUCUCUGAAGUGUGUUGGGAGAUGAGGUGGCCCCUGGGGGUGGAGAGUGACCUGCUCCAUGUGGAUUCACAGUUGGGGGCCCUGGAAGUGGAGUGAAGUGGGAAGGGAAAUCCCUGUGAGAGCCUCAGCACCAGUAGUUCCCAGCACCCGUGGAGUGACACGAAGGAGCCUAUGAGCAGCAGUGACCUUGGCUCAGACAUCGGAGCCAUUGGUGGCAGCUGGAGCUGGUGCAAGAGAGACUCAGAUUACAUAUGCAGAUGUCGUCUUCAGGUCUGGAUGGUGAGCCCUUUGAAGUCAGACUCUCGCUGUCCUGCCAGCCUCCUCCUCCUGGAACAUUCCUCUGAUGCCUGGUGAUCCUUCACAGUUGAACAUCCUUCAUGUUUAAGAGAAAGGAGACCCAACCCAUCCUUUGCGAGAGAUGAAGAGAAGCUGAGGAGUUGAAGAAAGGAGAAUUUGAGGAAUUUAUGCCUCAGAAGAAGUGGAGGGGAACAUGAUAUGGCAAAUGGAGACUCAUGGGACUGGUCUCUUACCCUCUCCCUGCACUCUACUCUAUUCCCAAGGUCAAGUACUCAAC
rnacentral:lncRNA from 1 species